UGAGGAAUAUUGGUCAAUGGGCGGAAGCCUGAACCAGCCAUGCCGCGUGCAGGAAGACGGCCCUACGGGUUGUAAACUGCUUUUCCGGGGGAAGAAUAAUCCCGACGUGUCGGGAGACGACGGUACCCCGGGAAUAAGGAUCGGCUAACUCCGUGCCAGCAGCCGCGGUAAUACGGAGGAUCCGAGCGUUAUCCGGAUUUACUGGGUUUAAAGGGUGCGUAGGCGGGCGCUUAAGUCAGCGGUGAAAUGCGGGGGCUCAACCUUCGAACGGCCGUUGAUACUGGGCGCCUUGGAUUCGGUCGAGGCGGGCGGAAUGCGACAUGUAGCGGUGAAAUGCUUAGAUAUGUCGCAGAACGCCGAUUGCGAAGGCAGCUCGCCGGGCCGAUAUUGACGCUGAGGCACGAAAGCGUGGGGAUCGAACAGG
rnacentral:rRNA from 2 species